rnacentral:rRNA from 1 species
UGGGGAAUAUUGGACAAUGGGCGAAAGCCUGAUCCAGCCAUGCCGCGUGUGUGAAGAAGGCCUUAUGGUUGUAAAGCACUUUAAGCGAGGAGGAGGGUACUGGUAUUAAUACUACCAGGUACUGGACGUUACUCGCAGAAUAAGCACCGGCUAACUCUGUGCCAGCAGCCGCGGUAAUACAGAGGGUGCAAGCGUUAAUCGGAAUUACUGGGCGUAAAGCGCGCGUAGGUGGUUCGUUAAGUUGAAUGUGAAAGCCCCGGGCUCAACCUGGGAACUGCAUCCAAAACUGGCGAGCUAGAGUAGGGCAAAGGGUGGUGGAAUUUCCUGUGUAGCGGUGAAAUGCGUAGAUAUAGGAAGGAACACCAGUGGCGAAGGCGACCACCUGGGCUCAUACUGACACUGAGGUGCGAAAGCGUGGGGAGCAAACAGG